rnacentral:rRNA from 1 species
GGGUGCGUAACACGUAUACAAUCUGCCUUUAACUGGGGGAGUAGCCCGGAGAAAUCCGGAUUAAUACCCCAUAACACGAGAUCAGGCAUCUGAUUUUGUUGAAAGCUCCGGCGGUUAGAGAUGAGUAUGCGUCUGAUUAGUUAGUUGGUGAGGUAACGGCUCACCAAGACCACGAUCAGUAGGGGAUCUGAGAGGAUUAACCCCCACACGGAUACUGAGACACGGAUCCG